AACAAACACAACCCCACCUCCUCCCCCUUCUAUUUCUCUCUUUGCUUUGGGGUUUCGUCUUCUCUCUCUCUCUCUAACAAUCUCUCGCCUCUUUCUUGUUUCCUCUUCAUUUCCUUCUCUACAGUCCAUUCCUCGGAUGUUUAUGCAUCUAUCGCCUCUCUUUCUCUUCUUUAUCAGGUUCUUUUUUAGCUCUCUCUCUCUAGAUGUGUUUAUCUAUUUGUAUCUGAUCUAAUUUUUUUACCAUUAUUUUCUACGCUUUCGAAAUAGUAGCUCUGUUUGUAUUAGGGAUUUCGUUUCUGUUUAGUCUCCGAUUCUGAUUUUGUUUUUUGUUGCUGUGUCUGUGCGUGUUACGUGCGUGGGGCUUUUGGGUUGGGUGGGGUUUUGCUUUUUAGCAGUAGUAGUUGAAAAUAGGGAAGUCGAGGCGUGAUGGCAACGAUAAGAUCGAGCUUGCCGUCGAGGCUUCGGCAACUUUUUUCUGGUGAAAGCGUCAUCGGCCCCUCUAUAAAACUCGACUCUGAGCCUGUGAGUUCUCUUUUUUUUGGGAUAAUUACCUUUGUAUAAAAUUUUUAUGGGUUUAUCUUGUCUUUGUGCUGCUUUUGAUUAUCAUGGUUUUCUAAUAUCGUUUACUGUUUGGUGAAUCCAUCAAGAUUUUGUGUUGACAAUUUUUUAAUAUAGAUUACUUAGUUUUGCCACUUCCUUUUAGUAAUUUGUGUUGUGAUUAGUUUGAUUAUAUGGCUUGUGUCGCAAUGGUAUCUAUUUUGCGUUUAUGAAGCAAUAUAGAUAGACAAGAUUACUUUUCUUUCCUCUUUUUGUUUGGUUGUUUGUUUUAAUCUCAUGGGUGUUUGACACGUAUCUCUUGUUAUUCUUUUGGUUGACCGUAUCUCUGUUAUUGUUUUUGGUAAGCAUUCAUAUCGGAACUCGUAUUUGAAGUUUAUGGUGAUUGUGAAAUAUUGCUACUUAGUCAUGAUUAAGUGUCAGUGUUGUCACUGAUCAAAUAAAAAAGACUUUACUAGUUUCUUCCCCUUACUAUUUGGGCAUUUGAUGUGGUAUCUUGUGCAUGGCAUCUUUUUCAAGCAAUAAUUCUUAAGUACUGACAAUAUAAUAUGGUUGAGAAAAAUAAAGGUUAUACGUUGCUAAAUUUUGACACAAGUAACCAUGGACGCAAGUGUUGAUUGGUUUGAAGUCUCAUUUGUUACCUCAAGUGGCUCCAUCCUGUUUGUGUAUAUAUUUAAGCACAAAUUGAAUGCUAUUUUAUAUACAUAUUGUAAGGGCUCGGUCCAAACUUACCCAAAUAACUUCAAACUGAAAUAACUUUUGGACCUAUUUUCCACUUGGUCCAAAAUGAUUAACCUAGUUAUUUAGUAAUAUUAAGUUAGAAUUUAUAUAUUGCCAAUUCAAUUAAUAAUUUGCUGAUGUAGGAAUUUUUCUCACGUCAAGCAAGCAGGUAGCUGAAUAUUACACUCUCCCCUAAUAAAUUUGUGACGUCCUUGUCGCAACUGAACGGAUGCUUGGGUAUUGUGAUUCGCUUGUACUUCGGGCGGCUCCAUCUCGUUUCGCAUGGGUAGCCCUUUUCUCGCAGGUCCACUAGUUCUGCACAAUUUUUCUGGAAAGAGGUGGCUUUGAUAUCGAUUAUAAUAGUCCGAUUAUAACAGUCCGGCUUAAACUGAUCCAAAUAACUUUUGACCUACUUUUCAAUUAGCCCAAAAUGACCCAAAAUGUUAAUCCAAGUUAUUUAGUAAUAUUAAGUUAGGAUUUAUAUAUUACCAAUUCAAUUGGUAAUUUGCCAUUAAGCUGAUCUGGGAAUCUUUCCCACAUCAAGCAGGCAGCUGAAUAUUACACAUAUAUAUAUCUUCAGAUUGAUGUAGAACCCUAGGAUUACAAUGAAUCUGAAAACCUCAAUAGACAAUUUAAUAUUAAAACACACCCUUUAGGCAAAUCAAGAGUUGCUCUAUUGGACUUCUAACUAACAAUGUAAUUAGGAAUGCGGAUGAUGGAGCAAAAAUCAAGAAAGAUAACACCACAAGAUUAUUAACCUUGAUAAGUUGUCAAUUUUUUAUGCAACACACAAAAAUAAAAGAAAAUAAUUCUGCACUUUGCAUUAAAAAUAAUGAAAGAACAAAGUUUUGGUGUCAAAAUUACAUAGUGGCCAGCCAAGGCAAGCAAAUAACAUAUAUAUAGUGUUAUAACCCUAAUCCUAUAAGAAAACUCUACUUAAUCUUACUAUUUCAUGGGAACUCUUCCUAAUCCUACUAGAACAUGGAAAUUCUGAAUUCUUUCUCAUGUACCCAUAUUGUAGAAAGCUUGGAACCAGUAAUUAAAGCUUGACCUGUGUCUUACAAGAAAAAUACAAGUUGCAAAUUUAUCAGAAAGGAACAUGGAUUAGAGAGGGGAAACACGGGAUGCCCGUGUUUUGAAGUCUAGGCCAUGUUAUUUACUUUUUUUUUUCUUGCACAACUCUGUGCUUUUAGAAUGGAAGACUACAUUAGUUAUGUAGCCAAAAAUAUGGGGUAGACCUACGUAGAUCCUUUGCAAAUUGUGUAGUGCUCUAUUUGCUUCAAUGAGUUGCAACUGCAUCGAUUAAAGUCAUGAAUAUCUCUCCUUGCUCUCCAAACUUAGUUUUCACAUUGUUCCCAUUAAUUCCCUCCGUCAUAGCUUGCUUUGCCAAGAUUUGGAGUGCAAUUUUAAGCCUCUUAGUUCGAGCUAUUCUCAUUGGACCAAAUAGCAUAGUGACGUCUCCAUCCAUCGCAUCUCCAUGUGUGGCAUGGUGCUUUGUGCUUGCAUCAUAGAUGAUUUGAUGCUAUGCGGUCCUGCUAAUUUUUCAAAAACUAUGUCCAACAAUAGGGUUGAGCAAUUGGUUGUUUUGGUUCUGAUUCAAAUUAAACUGGACUAGCUGGAAACUAAACUUAAUCUUUAAUGGAAAUCAAAUAUAACUAAAUUGAAAUUUUUUUUUACUUAAACACAGAUAAGCGUAGAGUCAUUGCUUGAUAUUGUAUGGUAAAUAGAGGCUCUGAUUUAACACAUUAAUGAUAUAUUUGUCGCAUCUAUCAUAUCGUGAUUUGUCACAACUUAUAGCUACUAUUAACAUCCAUAGAAAUAAAAAAGAGUGGCACAAGAUCAAGCUACACUCAUAAUCAAAAGGCCAAGACCAAUAAAUCCCUAUGACAAAUAAUUGCAGUUGAGGGAGAAGCAAGGAGAAAUGAGAAUAUGAGAGUUGAGACUGGGGGUGAGCUUAUGUUGUAGUAAGAUCAUAGUUUAGUUAAGGCAUGCCUCUGGUAUGCCUCAGGCUCAAGGGUCAAAAGGCUCCAAGUCCAAUCUUAAUGCUUUAAGCGCCUAGGUGCUUGCCUUGUUCCAGGCGUGAGGCUUUAGGAAGGCAAACUUUUAUUUCAAUCUCCAACAAGUGCAGGGGGGGAAAUUCUCUGUUGGUUCAGUUUUUAUACUGAACUAACCAAACUGAAUUCAAAAUUUCAAAAUUUUUCAGUUUAAUUUUGUUCAUCCCUAGUCUAGAAGAUGCAAUUUUUAGGUUUGUUAUGAUCAACUGUCAAUUUCUUAACUUGCAGCUCUCAGGCAUUUUCCAUAAUUGCUUUGCUAAGUUGUUCUUUUUAACUUGAGGACAUAUGAUGUUCUUGGUUUAUUCAAACGCCCCAAACUCCAAGUCUUAUGCUGUUCUCUUCCCCCUUUUUUUUUAACAAGGACUGUUCAAUUUUUCAGAUGCACCAUUUAAAUUUAAUGUUAUGGUUUUCACUUUUGAGUUUUGAACUGUUUCAAUGACUAAUUAAUCUAUAUAUUUACAAAUAUAAUUUCUUUGUUUAUUAAAUUUUAAUAUCUUGUAUGUAAAAAAAUAAAAUAAAAAAAAGUCUCUUGUUGCCUUUUUGCUCUUAUUAAAUAAAAAAAAAUAACACUAAGAAAGGGGAAGCUAGACAGGGAAUGGUUCUUUGGGCUUUAAUUUGGAUUUUAUUAUUUUACUGCCAAAUAUAAGAUAUAAUUUAAUAAGCAUUGAGAUCAGUUUGUAAAAAAUAUAAUUACUUGUUUAUAAGCAAUUAUACUAUUUAAGGAUCAGUUUGUAAAGAUAUAGGGAUGAGUUAUAACUAAAGGGACUAUUUUAUUAAUAAAACAAAAUCUUAUAUAACUAAAUUUAGAAAUAUAGGGACUAAAUUAUAUAGUUCACUAAAUUUUUAGGAUUAAAAUGUAAUUUGCCCUAACCAAAAAUUAUUUUCAAUUGAAUUUUAAAUGCCACAUCAGCAUCAGCAUGUAUUAAUAGUGUAAAGGGAAAAACCCACUUUGCCAAUGGCGUGAAACCACGAGAUUCUUUUUGUCAUAAAUUAAAUUAUAGGACCUUAUUUGAAAAAAGCGUCAAAACAUAGGGUAGUUUUUGGUAAUUUGCCCAAAUUGUAUUACUGGUUUUUAUUGCAGAUUUGACUAUUCUUGCACCACAAAGUGAUGUGCUCAUUAAGGUUUUUUUUUUGUUUCUCCUUUUUGCUUCAAUAGUUGUCUAAGUUAUUGCCAUUUUCAUUUUUUUAUUUGCAUUAGUAAUAACUUUGUUCUCUCACUUAAUGGUUCUAGCUCUUGUUUCCUGGGUUAUACUUGUUCUUGUCACUUUGUUCUUGUCUUUUUCUUGCAACUGAUCUAAUCCAUUUAUGGUAUUGCUUAAAUAUACUAGUUUUCUUGUCCCACAUUGCCAAGUGAUGGAGGACUGAGUAAAGGAGGAGAACUAGGAAGUGAAAUCAGAAAAAAAACUAGAAAGAUAAAUGGAGUGUCCUGCUAAAUACCAGACUCUGUAUCUUUCUUUUUUUUUUUUUUCUGGCAAUGAAAUUAUNNNNNNNNNNNNNNNNNNNNNNNNNNNNNNNNNNNNNNNNNNNNNNNNNNNNNNNNNNNNNNNNNNNNNNNNNNNNNNNNNNNNNNNNNNNNNNNNNNNNNNNNNNNNNNNNNNNNNNNNNNNNNNNNNNNNNNNNNNNNNNNNNNNNNNNNNNNNNNNNNNNNNNNNNNNNNNNNNNNNNNNNNNNNNNNNNNNNNNNNNNNNNNNNNNNNNNNNNNNNNNNNNNNNNNNNNNNNNNNNNNNNNNNNUUCAAAAAAAAGAAAAAAGAGGAAAGAGAAGAAAAGAACAAAAAAUCCCUCUUCUUAAUUUUUUGCUGCCUUUUCUUACUUGAUGCGUUAACUUGCAGGGGAAUUUUCAUCAUUGGAGGCCGUUGUUUCUGCAUUUUGAUACUUACUUCAAGACAUACUUGUCUACUAGGAAUGAUCUUCUCUUGUCAGAUUCUGUUUCAGAAAAUGAUUCUCCAUUUCCGAAGCAGGCUGUCCUUCAAAUUCUACGAGUGAUGCAAAUAAUUUUAGAGAACUGCCAUGCCAAAAGUUCUUUUGAUGGCAUAGAGGUUUUUUUUUUUUUUUUUUUGAUAGAGCCAGAGACUAACAUGUCCCGUCCAUUAGUGUUUAAUGUUGUUAUGCAAUUGUCAUUCCUCUAACAUGUUCAUAUUGGUCACUUGGCUUUUUCAGCAUUUCAAGCUCUUGCUAGCGUCCACAGAUCCUGAGGUUCUUAUAGCUACAUUGGAGACGCUUUCUGCUCUUGUGAAAAUUAAUCCCUCUAAACUGCAUGGGAGUGGGAAAUUGGUUGGAUGUGGCUCAGUAAACAGCUAUCUUCUGUCCCUUGCACAAGGCUGGGGAAGCAAGGAGGAGGGAUUGGGCUUGUAUUCAUGUGUUAUGACAAAUGAGAGAAGUCAAGAAGAAGGGUUGUGUCUAUUCCCCUCAGAGGUGGAAAAUGAUCAUGACAAGUCUCAAUACCGGAUUGGUUCCACCCUGUAUUUUGAAUUGCAUGGUAGUGGUGCUGAAAGUACUAGGGAGAUUAGUGACAAUGCAAAUUCUUCUAGCUUGAGAGUCAUACACAUACCAGAUCUACACUUGCGCAAAGAAGAUGAUCUGUUAUUGAUGAAACAGUGCAUUGAGGAGUAUAAUGUGCCUCCUGAUCUUCGAUUUUCAUUGCUAACCCGAAUUAGAUAUGCUCGGGCUUUCCGUUCUCCCAGAGUUUGCAGGAUGUAUAGCAGGAUUUGCCUCCUCGCUUUUAUUGUACUUGUUCAGUCUAGUGAUGCUAAUGAUGAACUGACCUCUUUUUUUGCAAAUGAGCCUGAGUAUACAAAUGAAUUGAUUAGGAUUGUGCGAUCAGAGGAAACUGUUCCUGGAACCAUUAGAACUCUUGCAAUGCUUGCCUUAGGAGCUCAGUUAGCUGCUUAUUCAGCAUCCCAUGAGCGGGCACGGAUUUUGAGUGGGUCUAGUAUCAGUUUUGCUGUGGGUAACCGCAUGAUUCUCCUGAAUGUGCUUCAGAGAGCUGUUUUAUCAUUGAGAAACUCUAAUGAUCCAUCUUCUCUUGCCUUUGUUGAAGCACUUCUUCAGUUCUAUUUGCUCCAUAUUGUUUCAUCAUCAGCUUCAGGGAGUAAUGUAAGAGGUUCAGGAAUGGUUCCUACUUUCUUACCUCUUUUGGAAGACUCGGAGCCUAAUCACAUGCACCUUGUGUAUUUGGCCGUCAAAGCCCUACAGAAGCUCAUGGAUUACAGUAACUCAGCUGUAUCCUUGCUUAGGGAAUUAGGUGGAGUUGAGCUUUUGGCCCAGAGGUUACAGAUAGAAGUACAUAGAAUUAUUGGCUUGGCUGGGGAAAAUGAAAAUUCAAUGGUCAUUGCUGAAUGCUCCAGAUAUACUGAUGAGCAUAUCUACUGUCAAAAGAGGCUAAUCAAGGUUCUUUUGAAGGCACUUGGGUCUGCUACCUAUGCUCCUACAAAUAAUACCAGAUCCUUAAAUUCCCAUGACAGUUCUUUACCUUCUACUUUGUCACUGAUAUAUGGGAAUGCAGACAAAUUUGGGGGUGACAUCUAUUAUUCAGCUGUGACUGUUAUGAGUGAAAUAAUCCACAAGGACCCAACUUGUUUCCCCGCAUUGCAUGAGAUGGGCCUUCCAGAUGCAUUUUUAUCCUCGGUGGUAGCUGGACUACUUCCUUCUUCUAAGGCUCUUACUUGUGUUCCAAAUGGUCUUGGUGCCAUAUGUCUUAAUGCCAAAGGCUUAGAAGCCGUCAAAGAAACUUCAGCAUUGCAUUUUCUUGUUGACAUCUUCACCAGCAAGAAAUAUGUUUUGGCCAUGAAUGAAGCCAUUGUUCCUUUGGCAAAUGCUGUUGAAGAGCUUUUGCGACAUGUUUCUUCAUUGAGAGGCACCAGCGUUGAUAUAAUUAUUGAAAUUAUUGAUAGAAUUGCUUCCUUUGGGGAUAACAGUUUUGCUGGGUCCUCUGGAAAAAUUAGUGGAAAUACUGAAAUGGAAAUGGAUUCUGCAGACAAGGAAAAUGAUGAGCACUGUUGUUUAGUUGAUGAGGGUGAUUUGGGUGCGGAGGGGGUCAGCAAUGAGCAGUUUAUUCAGUUGUGCAUCUUUCAUUUGAUGGUUCUGCUUCACAGAACGAUGGAAAAUUCAGAAACAUGUCGGUUAUUUGUGGAGAAGUUGGGAAUUGAAUCAUUACUGAAACUUCUAUUACGGCCAAGUAUUGUCCAGUCGUCUGAAGGGAUGUCUAUUGCUUUACAUAGCACGAUGGUUUUCAAGGGUUUUACUCAACACCACUCUGCAACUCUGGCACGUGCAUUCUGUUCUUCUCUUAGGGACCAUCUAAAGAAAGCUUUGACUGGACUUGGUGCGAAUUCUGGUUCUUUUUUGCUGGACCCGAGGAUAACACCAGAUGGUGAAAUAUUUUCUUCACUGUUCCUUGUUGAGUUCCUUCUGUUUCUUGCUGCCUCAAAAGACAACCGCUGGGUAACUGCUCUGCUUACAGAAUUUGGAAAUGGUAGUAAAGAUGUUUUGGAGGAUAUUGGUAGUGUGCAUCGUGAGGUUCUUUGGCAGAUUGCUUUACUUGAAGAUGCAAAGCUUGAGGUUGAGGAGGAUGGAACGGGCUCAGGUUCUGGUUCUGGUUCGGAGUUGCAACAGUCUGAACUGAAUGCAAAUGAGACUGAAGAGCAGCGAUUUAAUUCCCUUAGGCAGUUCCUUGAUCCAUUAUUGAGGAGGAGGACAUCAGGCUGGAGUAUUGAAUCUCAGUUUUUUGACCUCAUAAACCUUUACCGUGAUCUUGGAGGUGCUAUUUGGGUUCCACAAAGAUCGAGUGCAGAUAGUCCUUCAAACCGCUUUGGAUCCAUUCAUCAUUCACAUCAUUCUGAAACUUCAGAUGCUGCUGGGACUUCCAGUAAAAAGGAAUAUGACAAGCAGAGGUCCUAUUAUACUUCUUGCUGUGACAUGGUGAGGUCACUCUCUUUUCAUAUUACGCGUCUGUUUCAGGAGUUGGGAAAGGCAAUGUUACUUCCUUCUCGACGGCGAGAUGAUACUGUGAAUGUUUCACCUUCUUCCAAAGUAGUAGCUGGAACUUUUGCUUCCAUUUCUCUGGGUCAUAUGAAUUUUGGUGGUCAUGCAAGUCCUGGAUCAGAGAUAUCUAUAUCAACAAAAUGUCGCUACUUUGGCAAGGUUAUUGAUUUCAUUGAUGGCAUUCUACUGGAUAGACCAGAUUCUUGUAAUCCAAUAUUGUUAAAUUGCUUAUAUGGACAUGGAGUUGUUCAAUCGGUUUUGACCACAUUUGAAGCCACCAGUCAAUUGCUCUUUGCAGUUAAUAGGGCCCCUGCAUCGCCCAUGGAAACUGAUGAUGAGAAUGUAAAACAGAAUGAUAAGGAAGAUGCAGAUCAUUCCUGGAUUUAUGGUCCCUUAGCUAGCUAUGGUAAACUUAUGGAUCAUCUAGUGACAUCGUCAUUUAUAUUGUCUCCAUUUACGAAGCACUUGCUUGCACAACCUUUGGCAAACGGAGCCUUACCUUUUCCUCGGGAUGCUGAGACAUUUGUUAAAGUGCUCCAGUCUAUGGUUCUGAAGGCAGUGCUUCCUGUUUGGACUCACCCUCAGUUGACUGAUUGCAGUAGUGAUUUCAUUAGUACAUUUCUUUCUAUAAUAAGGCAUGUUUAUUCAGGAGUGGAAGUGAAAAAUGUGAAUAACACCCCCAGUGCUCGUAUUACUGGCCCUCCCCCAAAUGAAACAGCUAUUUCAACAAUUGUGGAAAUGGGUUUUUCCAGGUCUAGGGCAGAAGAGGCUUUAAGGCAAGUUGGAUCAAAUAGUGUGGAAUUGGCAAUGGAGUGGUUAUUUUCCCACCCUGAGGAAACUCAAGAAGAUGAUGAGCUUGCGCGUGCACUUGCCAUGUCGCUGGGGAACUCAGAAUCAGAUACAAAGGAAGAUGAUGUAAAUGCCAAUGGUCAACAGCUUGAAGAAGAGAUGGUCCAACUUCCUCCAGUUGAUGAGCUGUUAUCAACAUGCGUAAAGCUUUUGCAAGUGAAAGAGCCUCUUGCUUUUCCAGUUCAUGAUCUUCUUGUGUUGAUUUGCUCUCAAAGUGAUGGCCAAUAUAGGUCUACUGUCAUCUCGUUUAUUCUUGACCAAGUGAAGGAUCGAAACCUGACUUCUGAUGGCAGAAAUAGUACCAUGUUGUCUGCUCUUUUCCAUGUCCUUGCCUUGAUUCUUCAUGAAGAUGCACUAGCCCGAGAUAUUGCUUUAAAGGAUGGUCUGGUAAAAAUUGUGUCUGAUUUACUUGCGCAAUGGAAUAAUGCUUUGGUGGACAAAGAGAAUCAUCAGGUUCCCAAAUGGGUAACAACAGCUUUUCUUGCUAUUGAUCGCCUACUUCAGGUGGAUCAGAAACUGAAUUCUGAAAUUUUUGAGCGAUUGAAAAGCGAUGACAUAAGCAGUAAGCAAACCUCAAUCAGUAUUGAUGAGGACAAGCAAAACAGACUGCAGUCUGCAUUGAGAUCACCUACAGAGAAAAUAGAGGCUGAAGAGCAGAAGAGACUCAUUCGGAUUGCUUGCCAUUGUAUCAAGAAGCAGCUUCCAUCUGAGACAAUGCAUGCUGUUCUGCAGUUAUGUUCCACUCUCACCAGAAGUCAUUUCAUUGCUGUUUGUUUUCUUGAAGCUGAGGGUGUAAGUUCACUGUUGAAUUUGCCAACAAGUAGCCUUUUUCCUGGAUUUGACAAUAUUGCUGCUACUAUCAUUCGACAUGUCCUUGAAGAUCCCCAAACUCUUCAGCAAGCAAUGGAAUCUGAGAUAAAGCACAGCCUUGUGGCUGCUGCGAAUAGGCAUUCAAAUGGAAGGGUCACUCCACGCAAUUUCCUUUUAAAUUUAAGUUCUGUCAUUUCCCGUGAUCCAAUGAUCUUUAUACAGGCUGCAAAAUCUGUAUGCCAAGUUGAGAUGGUAGGUGACAGGCCUUACAUUGUGUUGCUGAAGGAUCGUGAGAAAGAUAAAAGCAAAGAGAAAGACAAGGAGAAGGACAAAGCACUGGAAAAAGAUAAAUUGCACACAAAUGAUGGGAAGGCUACCUUGGGCAAUACAAACACACUGGUCUCAGGAAAUGUGCAUGGAAAACUUCAUGAUUUGAAUUCAAAGAGUGCUAAAGUACACCGAAAAUCUCCUCAGAGCUUUAUAACUGUGAUUGAGCUUCUUUUGGAUGUGGUCAGUAGCUUUGUGCCUCCCUCAAAAGAUGAUGCUGUGGUAGGUGCAUCAUCAACUGACAUGGAUGUUGAUUUUGCUGCAAUCAAGGGAAAAGGAAAAGCCAUAGCCACUGUUCCUGAAGAUAAUGAAACCAGUAGUCAGGAAGCUUCUGCAGUGCUUGCAAAAAUUGUAUUUAUCCUGAAGCUUUUGACAGAGAUAGUGUUAAUGUAUUCUUCAUCUGUUCAUGUGCUACUUAGAAGAGAUGCUGAAGUUAGUAGUUGCAGGGUUCCACAUGUAAGGGGUUCUACUGGUUUGUGUACUGGAGGAAUAUUUCACCAUAUUCUUCACAAGUUUAUUCCUUAUUCUCGAAUUCUGAAAAAAGAAAGGAAGUUAGAUGGUGACUGGAGGCAUAAACUGGCAACAAGGGCAAGCCAGCUUUUGGUGGCAUCUUGUGUUCGCUCUACUGAGGCCAGAAAGAGGGUGUUCACAGACAUCAGUUGCAUUUUCAGUGACUUUGUUGAUUCAUGCAAUGUUUCCAGGCCCCCAACUAUUGAUAUGCAGACUUACAUUGAUCUGCUCAAUGAUGUACUUGCUGCCCGUACACCUACUGGUUCGUACAUUUCGCCAGAAGCUUCGGCCACUUUUAUUGAUGUUGGUCUGGUUAAGUCUUUGACUCGAACCCUUGAGGUGUUGGAUAUGGAUCAUUCUGACUCCCCUAAACUUGUAACUGCACUCAUCAAAGCUUUGGAGUUGGUGACCAAGGAACAUGUUAACACAGUGGAGUCUAAUACUGGGAAGAGUGAGAAUUCAACAAAACCUCCUGUGCAAAGUCAAUUAGGUAGAGCGGAGAAUAUUGUCGAUAUAUCCCAAUCAACAGAAACUGUGCCCCAAUCUAAUCACGAUUCUGUGUCAGUUGACCAUGUCGAACCAUUUAAUGAGGUGCAAAAUUUUGGUCGAUCUGAAGCUGUUGCAGAUGAUAUGGAACAUGACCAAGAUCUUGAUGGUGGUUUUGCCCCUGCUAAUGAGGAUGACUAUAUGCAGGAAACUUCUGAGGAAAUAAGGGGUCUUGAAAAUGGCAUGGAUACUGUUGGAAUACGAUUUGAAAUACAGCCUCAUGGACAAGAAACUCUAGAUGAAGAUGAGAUGUCUGGGGAUGAUGGUGAUGAAGCAGAUGAGGAUGAGGACGAUGAUGAGGACGAUGAAGAUGAUGAAGAGCAUAAUGAUCUAGAAGAGGAUGAAGUGCAUCACUUGCCACAUCCUGACACUGAUCAAGAUGAUCAUGAUAUUGAUGAUGAUGAGUUUGAAGAAGAACUAUUGGAGGAGGAGGAUGAAGAUGAGGAGGAAGAUGAGGAUGGGGUUAUACUACGGCUGGAGGAGGGGAUCAAUGGGAUAAAUGUUUUUGAUCAUAUUGAAGUUUUUGGUAGAGAACAUAGUUCCCCAAAUGAAACUCUUCAUGUGAUGCCAGUUGAAGUUUUUGGUUCUAGACGUCAGGGCCGAACUACAUCCAUUUACAGUCUCCUUGGUAGAAGUGGGGACAGUGCUGCUCCCUCACGCCAUCCCCUUCUAGUUGGUCCUUCCACAUUGCACUCAGCCUCUGGAAGACAAUCAGGUGAGUUCCUUUGCUAGUUGGUUUUUUUGCCGCUUUGGUUUUACUAUUUAUGCUUGGUAUGCUCGACAUUCCCACCUGAUUGCAUAUUUGGAUUUUAAUGUUGACAUGAUAUUCUCACACCAUCUUGUCUUUCUAUGCAGAUAAUGCUCGUGAUGUGGUCUUGUCAGAUAGGAAUUUGGAGAGUACUUCAUCUCAGCUUGAUAGUAUCUUCCGUUCACUAAGGAAUGGGCGUCAUGCACACCGUAUGAACUUGUGGAGUGAUGAUAACCCGCAAAGUGGUGGAUCUAGUGCAUCUGUACCUCAAGGCCUUGAGGAGUUGCUUGUUACUCAGUUGAGGCGACCAGCUCCUGAGAAGUCCUCUGAUCAGAAUACAUCAACAGCAGAACCUAAAAGCAAUGGCGAGGCUGGUCAGUUACCUGGACCAGGUGCAGCACAGCCUGAUACACCUGUGGAAAACAAUGUGAACAAUGGGAGCAGCAAUGUACCUCCUCUCUCUUCUGUAGCAGUGGGCAGAUCUGGCAAUAUUGAAAUGAGACCAGUAAUAAGUGAUUCUCAUUCUCAUUCACAGUCUGUUGAAAUGCAGUUUGAACAGAAUGAUGCUACAGUCCGAGAUGUUGAAGCUGUUAGUCAAGAAAGUAGUGGGAGUGGGGCAACUUUGGGGGAAAGCCUUCGGAGCCUAGAUGUUGAAAUUGGAAGUGCUGAUGGCCAUGAUGAUGGUGGAGAAAGACAAGGUUCAGCAGAUAGAAUGCAUUUGGAUUCACAGGCAAGUCGGAUGAGAAGAACUAAUGUUUCUUUUGGGAAUGCCACAGCUGUAAGUGGGAGAGAUGCAUCACUUCAUAGUGUUACUGAAGUCUCGGAAAAUUCUAGUAGAGAAGCAGAACAAGAUGGUCCAGCAGUGGAGCAGCAAAUCAGUGGUGAGGCUGGUUCUGGAUCAAUUGAUCCAGCAUUCUUGGAUGCCCUUCCAGAGGAGUUGCGAGCAGAAGUUCUUUCUGCUCAACAGGGUCAAGUGGCCCAACCUUCAAAUGCUGAACCACAAAACACUGGGGAUAUUGAUCCAGAAUUCCUUGCAGCCCUUCCUCCGGACAUUCGAGCAGAGGUUUUAGCACAACAGCAAGCACAAAGGCUUCAUCAGUCUCAUGAACUGGAAGGUCAACCAGUUGAAAUGGACACAGUUUCCAUAAUAGCAACAUUUCCUUCAGAUUUGCGUGAAGAGGUACGUUCUUCAUUGUGCUGUGGAUGUAUGAAUUAGCAACAUUUAACUUCAAGGUAUCUUAUUAUUUCUGCUCUCAGGUUCUCCUAACAUCAUCUGAUGCUAUACUUGCGAAUCUCACACCUGCUCUUGUUGCGGAGGCUAACAUGUUACGUGAAAGAUUUGCACAUCGCUAUCAUAAUCGUACACUCUUUGGUAUGUAUCCCAGAAGUCGCAGGGGUGAGUCUUCUCGGCGAGGUGAGGGUAUUGGAUACAGCCUGGAGAGAGCUGGGGUUGCCUCACGUAGGUCUAUGACUGCUAAGCUUGUUGAAGCUGAUGGAUCUCCUUUAGUCGAGACAGAAUCUCUUCAAGCAAUGAUACGGGUGCUACGCAUUGUUCAGGUAUUGGUAAACUAAAUUCUGUGUUUUUUUUUUUCUCUCUUUUUUCUUCCCCUUGUGCUGUCUCCUGAUCAAGGUACUGAUGAAAUUAUGAUACUGCAGCCCUUGUACAAAGGUCCUCUGCAGAGGCUUCUCUUGAAUUUAUGUGCUCAUGGUGAAACAAGAACUGCUUUGGUAAAAAUCCUCAUGGACAUGUUGAUGCUCGAUACAAAGCCUGCCAAUUAUUUAAAUGCUUCUGAGCCAUCAUAUCGGCUCUAUGCUUGCCAAAGCAAUGUCAUGUAUUCUCGUCCUCAAUCAUUUGAUGGUAAAGUAUAGAAUAAUUUUUUUAACAUCUUUUAGUUGCUAGUUAUAACUAUAAGAAAAAAUUCUGAAAAUUUAUAAUGGGCAAUACUCACGUACUGCUGAUAGUACUAAGUUGAGUUUCUUUCAUCUCAAGGAAGUGAAAAUCAGUUUGACAUUAUUCUAAAUCUACAAUGAUCUUUUUUAUCUGUGAAGUUCUAUUAUUUAUGGAACCCUUUAGAAGGUGAUAAUUUAUCUUCAACGGUGUUUAGGUCUGAAUAUUAGUCCUCUCAAAAAUACAUUUUUAUAACAACAUUGGUGUGAGAAGUUUGGUGAUAUUUGAGGAAUUGGUUUGUUUUCUAGCAGUAUUUACCAAUCUUCUAUCUUAUAUUGUUUGCUUUGUAGGGGUCCCACCGUUGGUAUCUCGGCGUGUCCUCGAGACACUGACUUACUUGGCUCGCAAUCAUCCCUAUGUGGCAAAAAUUUUGCUGCAGUUUAGGCUCCCUCUCUCUGCAUUGCAGCAGCAUGAGAAAAAUUUUGAUCAAUCACGUGGUAAAGCCGUGAUGAUGGUGGAAGAGUAUGGAACAGAUGUAAAACAGUUUCAUGAAGGACAUAUAUCCAUUGCCUUGCUUUUGAGUCUUUUGAACCAACCUCUUUAUUCAAGGAGCAUAGCACACCUUGAGCAGGUGAUUGUUUCCCAGUUGCUGUUUCGGUUUGCGAGAUGUCCUUUCUUUCUUGUCCUCUCAUUUCUCGUUCUAUAUGCAGCUGCUCAACUUGUUAGAGGUAAUCAUUGACAGUGCUGAGUGCAAGCCAAGUUUGUCUGAUAAAUCUGGGGCUGCCAUUGAGCAACCAUCUGCUCCCCAGAAUUCCUCAUCAGAUUCUAAAACAAAUAUGGAAGUUGGCAGUGCUUCUUCUGGGGUUGCUGCUUCAUCGUCCGUAGCCAUUGAUUCCUCCAAAACCAUGGCUCCUGGUGCAAAUAAUGAGUGUGAUGCUCAAAGUGUUCUACUGAACCUGCCACAAGCAGAACUUCGACUUCUUUGCUCGUUCCUUGCACGGGAAGGGUAUGAUGUAGUUUUAGACAUGUGGUCAAUACUUUGUGUACUGUUGUAUACCUGUAUCUCAUUAUUUAUUAAUUUCUUUCUUUUGUUCUGUUAUUCUUAUGGAAUCUUAUGUUUCUUGCCUAUACAUUUAUUAUCUUUGUCCAUGUUUUUACUUUAAAAGUGUAUGCAGGAAGAUUUCAAGUGGUACUUUUUACCUGUACAAUAUCUUUAGUAACUGGUUUUGCUUCAUUGAUGCUAGUAUUAUUAUUUUGCAGUCUUAGAAUCUUCUCUCAUGCUUGAUCUGAUGCUCUGUUUUCCCUCCAGUCUGUCAGAUAAUGCUUAUACUCUUGUAGCGGAGGUAAUGAAGAAGCUGGUGGCAAUUGCCCCAACUCACUGUCAUCUGUUUAUUACUGAGCUAGCAGAUGCUGUACAGAAUCUGACUAAAUCUGCUAUGGAUGAGCUCCGCCUGUUCGGUGAAGAAGUGAAAGCACUCCUUAGGACAACAUCUUCUGAUGGAGCUGCUAUUUUAAGAGUUCUGCAGGCGUUAAGCUGUCUUGUUGCCUCACUAGUGGAGAAAGAGAAGGACCAGCUCCUUCCUGAGAAAGAGCAAAGUGCUGCUCUUUCUCAAUUGUGCAAUAUCAAUGGAGUGUUAGAGCCUUUGUGGCUGGAGCUGAGCACUUGCAUAAGCAAAGUAGAGAGCUACUCAGAUUCUGUACCUGAUUUACUACUUCCUAGAACUUCCACAUCAAAACCAUCUGGUGUAACACCUCCGCUCCCUGCAGGCUCUCAGAACAUCUUACCUUACAUCGAGUCCUUCUUUGUAAUGUGUGAAAAGUUGCAGCCUGCACAACCGGGUUCCAGUCAUGACUAUGGAGCAGUUUCUGAAGUUGAAGAUGUGAGCACAUCUGCCCAGCAGAGAACUUCUGUCCCUGUUUUGAAAGUUGAUGAGAAACAUGUUGCAUUUGUCAAAUUUUCUGAGAAACAUAGAAAGCUCCUUAAUGCUUUCAUUCGCCAAAAUCCUGGGUUGCUGGAGAAGUCCUUCUCACUCAUGCUGAAGGUUCCCCGCUUUGUUGAUUUUGACAAUAAACGCGCUCACUUCAGAUCAAAAAUAAAGCAUCAGCAUGAUCACCAUCAAAGUCCUUUGAGAAUUUCUGUGAGAAGAGCUUACAUUCUCGAAGAUUCAUAUAACCAACUACGCAUGAGGUCAACCCAAGAUUUGAAAGGGAGGCUGACUGUUCAUUUUCAAGGAGAGGAAGGUAUUGAUGCUGGUGGACUUACAAGGGAAUGGUAUCAGUUGUUGUCCAGGGUUAUUUUUGAUAAGGGAGCACUACUUUUUACAACAGUAGGGAAUGAAUCUACUUUUCAGCCUAACCCCAACUCGGUGUACCAAACAGAACACUUGUCAUACUUCAAAUUCGUAGGGAGAGUUGUAAGUAUCAUUUUCUAUAGAUGCUGUUAUUUCUUUGAGUUAAUGCAUUUUUAUUAUUGAUUCAUGUCCAUCUUCUGUAGGUGGGGAAAGCACUUUUUGAUGGGCAACUGUUGGAUGUUCAUUUCACUAGAUCUUUCUACAAGCAUAUUUUAGGAGUUAAAGUUACAUAUCAUGACAUUGAAGCUAUCGAUCCUGAUUACUUUAAAAACCUAAAGUGGAUGCUGGAGGUAUGCUGCGUGGUCUUAUUUAUCAGCUCUUUCAUUUCAGUUGAACUUAUCCAAUAAUGGCAUUGCUUUAUGGUUAAUAUUUUUUUUUUUGAGAUUUUGCAGAAUGAUAUAAGUGAUGUUCUGGACCUUACUUUCAGUAUUGAUGCUGAUGAGGAAAAGCUCAUACUGUAUGAACGGACUGAAGUAAUGAUCUUACCUUGCGCGUUUAUUUUCCUAUUGUUUCCUAUCUUUAUUUAAUUAUUUCUGGUGAAUAUCAUAAUGCAGGUAACUGAUCAUGAACUGAUUCCUGGUGGACGUAACAUUAAAGUUACUGAGGAAAACAAGCACCAAUAUGUUGAUUUAGUUGCAGAGCAUCGGUUGACAACUGCUAUCCGUCCUCAAAUAAAUGCCUUUUUGGAGGGAUUCAACGAAUUAAUUCAUAGGGAAUUGAUAUCUAUAUUUAAUGACAAGGAAUUAGAAUUGUUGAUAAGCGGACUUCCAGAUAUUGAUUGUGAGUUCCUUUCAGUUUUCCUUGCAUGUUGCAGGAUUUUGUGAUUUCCUUUCUUAAUAAUUGGUAUCCCAUAAUGUAUUUCAGUGGAUGACAUGAGGGCAAAUACUGAGUAUUCCGGAUACAGUGCUGCAUCCCCUGUCAUACAGUGGUUUUGGGAGGUUGUUCAAGGAUUCAGCAAAGAGGAUAAGGCUCGCCUUCUACAGUUUGUGACUGGCACCUCGAAGGUAUUUUACUUUUGUUGGAUCCUUAUUGUAUAUGUAUGCCUGAUCAGUAAUAACCGAUUUCCUAGGUCAUUGACCUUGUGCUAAAAAUGUACCCACUAAAACUAUUGAGGAAAUUAAGAUCCAUUUUUUUUAUAAAGAAAAUUACCAUGCUGAUGCUGUUUCUUCACUUUUGUAGUCCAUGUAGUUUAUUUUGUGGACUGCUCUGGUGGUUUUGGUGAGAAACUAGUGUCUAAUUCCCGCACUUCCUAAAUUGUUCCAGGUGCCUCUAGAAGGCUUCAGUGCACUUCAAGGGAUCUCUGGUUCACAAAAGUUCCAAAUACACAAGGCAUAUGGAAGCCCUGAUCACUUGCCCACUGCUCAUACUUGGUAAUCUAAUUUUCUGAUUGCUUAUUAUUUGUUCAAGUACAUUGAUUUAUCUUUCCAACAUACAACUCAUAUGAAUGAUGUUGCAGUUUCAAUCAGUUGGAUUUACCAGAGUAUCCUUCCAAACAACAUCUAGAAGAGAGAUUGCUGCUUGCCAUUCAUGAAGCCAAUGAAGGUUUUGGUUUUGGUUGAUUUUUGGUGGGGGAAUAGUUAUGUAGAUAAAUAUAAAAUACAUCACAGGCCUUAACAUGCUUAUAUCAGAUGCUGAGUUGUUAAUAUAUUGUACAGUCCAAUAUUGGAUUUGGGAAAUGCUUCUGGCAGUUUUUAAAUUUGCCAAUCUGUGAUUUUGAUUUUCCCAUUUUUGAGAAUUAUUUCGAACGACGGCGACAGCUUCGGUUUUUUAUCGGCCUCCCAAGUCCACGAGUCGUAGCUGGAGCUUGGUACGCAAACAAGAAGCAGACACAUAUAAUAAAGUUAAAACAUAUUUGGGUUGAAUUUGGGCUAAAAUUAAUCAAAACUUAAUAAAUAGCCCGAAGUUCCUUUUUUUUAAAAUUUAUUUAAGGGGAAAUAAUUUUUAAAAAAUAAAUUAUGAAUAUAAAUUAAUUAAAUUCUUUUAAAUAACAAAAUAAACUUACUAAAACCUUAUAUAAAAUAAAAAAAAAACAUCAAUCAAUAUUUUUUUUUUCUGUCCGGAUCGGUCCAGUCCGUACGGGUUUAAUUCCAAACGGAUAGAGUAAAAAAAUCUCAUUUUAAAAAUGAACCUAAAAUUUUUUGUUCAAAUUCAAAAAAGUAUAAGCAAUUCUACACUAUCAAAUUCAAAUCUGUUUUGCCAAUACUACUCAAACACUCGCAUCUUGUAUUUAUUUAUAAAUGCAUGAAUUCGAUUCACAAACUCAUAAUAUAAAUACAUAAUAAAUUCACAUAAAAUUUUAUAUAUUUUUACAUUAUUUACGUUACGUGUCCACCUGGUAUAUAUAUACCAGCCUAUAUCAAUGCAUUACUGAUAUGCCCUUUCAAAGGGCUUCUCUUGACAAUUAACAUGUCAGCAUAGUUCAGAGACAGAAAUCACUUGAUGACUUGCCUUUUCCUUCAGCUUCUAACAUAACCAGUCCUCAACUAAACUAUAUUUUCACCCUUUGAUUUCAUUACAUUCUUCUAGAGUUUCCUCCUUUCUACUUGGAAAUGGGAAGGCAAGUCGAAGCUAAACUUAUCGUCUGCAGUAUAUUCUUCCUUCAGCAUCAUCCUUGAUGAUGUUUUGAAGACCACUGGGAAAAUCACAAGGCCAUAACACUACAUCACUUUUCUGCAAAGCCAUUUUUGAGAGGUAGUCAGCAGCUUUAUUCGUUUCUCUCCAUGAAUGAGAUACUUGGUAGCUGUCGAACUUCUUUAGAAGUAGCCAAAUUUGCUUCAAGCAUUUUUCGGCUUUUCUUCUGUGAGAUUGCUCCCCGUUAAUGGUCUUUACGACACUCAGAGAGUCGGACUCAACCCACACUGCUUUAAUCCCAAGGCCAGAGGCAAGAACAAGACCUCUCCAUACAGCAGAAAGUUCAACCAAGAAAACAUCAUCCAGAGGAGCUUUAGACACAAAACCACAUAUUGCAUCACCUCUGUAAUCACGGAGCAAACCGCCAAAACGGGCAUUUUCUCGAUCUAAAGAUCCAUCAGUAUUUAAUUUAAUACAUCCAACUUUUGGAUUUUCCCAUUUACACCAUCUGAUUGAUUUGACAGGAUUUACAAGUCUACUCAACUUUCCCAGAUUGACCAAGUUCUCAACCAAAACCAUCCUUUGGUUUCUAUAUGCCAUAUAAAAUGGACUGUAUGUUAAGUUGGAUGCCAUUUCUUCAGCUCUCACUUCUUCUUUCUUGGCCUUAUGCUUCUUACCUCGCAGGUGUUUAUUUAAGCAUUUUUCAUUGGUAGUGCUUACCAGACAAAGCGAGCAACUCCACUCCCUUUGUACUUUCUUUGAAAUAAUUGGCGUUUGAUCACUGUCUACAUUGUCAUAAUUAGGCUUGAAAGUUCCCUGCCAAAGAUAAAUAUCAAAGAAAACAUUCACAAAUAAGUAUUUACUCUCUAACUUGGCCUUGUUCGACAAUACUAGCUGUUAGCUAUUUUAGUAGCCGGUAGUUGUUUUAGGAGUGAUCAUUCAAACGUUAUAAGAAGUAACUUUUCAUAAUGUGUUUUGACUUAGUCACAAUAUUAAACACUACCUUCAAAAUUAUUUCCAAACAAAGUAUUAAGACUGCAUUCAAAACUGUCAUUAGUUUAUAUGUCAAUUCCUCUAAUAAACCAAAUACACUAAGAAGGCAAAAAGAUAUUACAUGAUGUAAAUACAAGCUUGAACCCAUGUGAUGAAGUACCUGGAAAAUAACAGGUUUCUGCUGUUCUUCUUGUCCUUUGACAGUUCUGUUUUUAUCAAUCUCAUCGACAAAGUUGUUCAGCCCAUUGAAUGGGAAAUUUUUUCUCACUGGAAUGAACAAGAUGUUCCAUAUCAAACAGAAUAUCUCUGAAACUUUAAAUGGAUGAGUUCUCACAAAACACUUGUAGACAUAAGAAGCACCACCAAAAUAAGGUACCACCAACAAGACAGUCACUGUCCCCUUCACAUAAGGCCAGUAAGGAAGCCUGUCAAUAAAGAACAUGAAAAUAAGGCUCAUUAAAGGAUUCCUUAAUCGGUACAAAUGCAGCCAAGAUAUUGACCACAUGUAACAGAAUUGAAUGUCGUCCAAGAAUUCAUAUAGUCGACCCCAACUCGUUUAGGAUUAAGCCUUAGUUGUUGUUGUGCAUCAAAGCAAUUGAUUGUACUAUGUGCAAGCUUCUUAGUGAUUGCUAAAGAUGUUUGAUCCAGCAAUCCAACUCAACAACUUAUUUUGAGUUUAAUCCCAAUAGUAAGUUAAAUGCCCAAUAUCAAGCACUGAACUCAUUUAAUCUACUUCUUUAAAACUCAAUUAUAAUUACAAAAUGAAUAGACUUUAAUCCCUAGGGUUCUAAAUUUUUAACCAAGCAUGAUGAAUAAUAGAAUCAAGUAUUGAGAUAUAAUGUAAUUCCAUCCUCAACCCAAAAUUGGGCAUUUCAAAAGCAGGAUUCAGAUAUGAAGUCAAAGAAUGAAACAACUCUAAAUUACCAUAGGAGAAGCUUUGCAAGUGCAUUCUCCAAAAUAGCCAAAAGAGCAAAAAGAACCCAGAAAGUCAGACAUUUCUGACUUUUAGCCUGCGAAUCACUCUCUAUUGCCCAAUAUGAAGCAUACCUACAACCAAAAGAAAACUUUCAAAUUUGAAACAAAAAAAAAAAAAAAAAAANNNNNNNNNNNNNNNNNNNNNNNNNNNNNNNNNNNNNNNNNNNNNNNNNNNNNNNNNNNNNNNNNNNNNNNNNNNNNNNNNNNNNNNNNNNNNNNNNNNNNNNNNNNNNNNNNNNNNNNNNNNNNNNNNNNNNNNNNNNNNNNNNNNNNNNNNNNNNNNNNNNNNNNNNNNNNNNNNNNNNNNNNNNNNNNNNNNNNNNNNNNNNNNNNNNNNNNNNNNNNNNNNNNNNNNNNNNNNNNNNNNNNNNNNNNNNNNNNNNNNNNAAAAAAAAAAAAAAAAAGAAAAAUUCAUGGAAAGAGUUACUUACAAGGGACAGAGCAAAGUAAAAGAAGGCCUGCAAUCCACAAAGAACGAACAAAAUUAACAGAAAAGAGUUGCCAGAUCUUAACAGAUCAAUCAAACAAACAGAUGGUCGAGCAUGGAAAGGAAAAGAAAAGAAAAAGGAAAGAAAACAGACAUACCAAGAAAGAACAUUGAAGAGUUGAGCAGACAAAAACUGGAGGAGAACUCUCCAAGGCAUCUCUUAACAUGUGUCGCAGGUGCAAUUUUUUCCUCUGGGUAUUGGGUGUUCGGAAGCUGGCCGUAGGAACAGUGGGAAGACGAAGAGGAAGAAGACUUCGGGAGUCAAUGUCGCAAUCAAUGGGAUGUCAAGAAUUGGGUGAGAUUCGGACGGUCUAGUGUAAAAUUGAAAAUAAAAACGUUAGUAUUUAUAAAAAUUAAAUUAAAUUAAUUUUAAUUAAAAAUUAAAAUAAAAUAAAUUAAUUUAAUUCGAAUUAAUUAAUUUAAAUUUUUAAUAAAUUUUUUAUUUUAUUUUUAAUAUUUUAAAAUUUACUUAAAAUAUUUUAAUUUUAAUUAUAAUAUAAUUUUUUUAUAUUAUUAAAAUCAUAUAUUAUUAUAAUUAAUUAGUUCAAUUUAAUUUUUUUAAUUCAAAUUGAAUUAAAUUAAAAUUAAUUUUUAAAAUUAAAAUAAAUAAUUAAUUAAAUUUAAAUUUUAAAUUAAAAUUAAUUUUUUUAAUUUAAACUAAAUAGGACAAACCCCUAGCGUUAACGGUUCCCAAGUCCGAAGACCGGUACUGUCUUUCCUCUUUAAGCUCUCCUUGUCGCAUUAGCCCUUUUCUUUAUUAAUACGACAAUAAAAGUGUAUAUAAUUUGAAAAUAAUACAUAUCGUCAUUUUAUUAUUCACUUAGUCUCCUAAUU
rnacentral:lncRNA from 1 species